rnacentral:lncRNA from 1 species
GAAAUGCGCCAUGGCUGGACUUCCGUGCUCCUGUGCAUCUGUACCUCCCUUUGACGAGGAGGAGGGGGAAAGCAGAUGACUUUGGAAGUUUGGAUAGUACUUUUAAAAUAGUUUUGGGGUUACUCAGGGAAGAGGGAAAAAGAAAAAAAGAAUCAGAGCUGAGGAAUGAUCCUUCCUGCAAGGAGCCGCUGUCUUCUGUGGUCUCCUGGAAUUUCUUCAGACGAUGCAAAAAAGUCACCUCUCCACCUAUCCCUUGCGCUGGAACGACUUCCCAUCUGACUGUGAUAACAUCUGCAAUAAAGUAGGCUGAACCUGAGGAGCUUCAACCCCACUUGGUGAUCAGCAGUUUCUAUUAUGUAUGUCACCAUCCAAAAUAGAUGUAUUAAAGGAUGAGUUUCCUUAGGAUGAUUAUUUGCUGCCUCAUGUGCCUAACAGAGAAACAGAAAAAUCAUGAAACUGAGAGAACAAGCAAUAGAGGAACAUCAAAAUGUGGACAGAGCCUGGACACAUGACCUGAGAAAAAGCUUCACGGAUAGGCUUGAGUGAGCCUGAAAAAUGAUUUUGGUCUAUAAGACUGCUGCUUAAGAUCUACCCUAUACUCAUGGAAACAGGACUUUGAUUAUAAAUAAACAGGACUGUGCCACAGACA